GUUGCUUACUCUCCCUCAAGGGCUUCUGGAUUGGGCCAUUUAAUAGAAUUAUUCUAUUAAAAAGGGCUUGCUAGGAGCACUUUGAGGGGGAGUCAA
rnacentral:miRNA from 1 species